AUUGAACGCUGGCGGCAUGCCUUACACACGCAAGUCGAACGGUAACGCGGGGCAACCUGGCGACGAGUGGCGAACGGGUGAGUAAUGCAUCGGAACGUGCCUGGUAGUGGGGGAUAACUGCUCGAAAGAGCAGCUAAUACCGCAUACGACCUGAGGGUGAAAGGGGGGGAUCGCAAGACCUCUCGCUAUCAGAGCGGCCGAUGUCGGAUUAGCUAGUUGGUGGGGUAAAGGCCCACCAAGGCGACGAUCCGUAGCUGGUCUGAGAGGACGACCAGCCACACUGGGACUGAGACACGGCCCAGACUCCUACGGGAGGCAGCAGUGGGGAAUUUUGGACAAUGGACGCAAGUCUGAUCCAGCCAUGCCGCGUGCGGGAAGAAGGCCUUCGGGUUGUAAACCGCUUUUGUCAGGGAAGAAAUCUUCUGGGUUAAUACCUCGGGAGGAUGACGGUACCUGAAGAAUAAGCACCGGCUAACUACGUGCCAGCCGCCGCCGUAAAAC
rnacentral:rRNA from 1 species